GCGACAUACUGAGAGGACAGCAAACAAAGCACAAUCCACUUUCCACUGUGAGGAAGACUUUGAGCUAUCGGUUUUUCACCUAUCUAAGCAAAACAGCAUCUAACUACCUGAUUGACUGAAUGAACCUGAAACUGGUCAAAAAUUGAGUGAAAUUCAAAGUCUGGUCUUUUUCAAGUGUGGGCACCUCACAGACAGAGAACACUUGACAGGAAUAUUUAAAAAAAAAAAAAAAAAAAAAAAAGUAAAGUCACUUCAAACUAGGAUGUAAAUGUCACAGAGAAUUAAAAUGAGUCAACAUGAAGCUCGUACAAUUUCUGUUAAACAUUAAAAUCCGGAAAGAGGCCAUUCUCCCACUUUGUUUUUCUGGUUUUGCUGAGACGGAAAAUGUGGUGACAGCAGCAGAACAUCUGGUGAGGAAGAAAGUAUAAAUGUUAUUUUCGGCUGUGUAAUCAUUUUAACAACAAAUACAUCCUCGAUAAUGAGCAUAAAUAGUAACUCAGAGAAUUUGCAUCACAAAAAUCAUGCAUUCAUAUAUUUACACACCAGGUUAUCUCUGCAGCCGUGUGAAAAACAGGUACAGCCUUAUGUAACUGGGAGCCAGAUGACUCUAACUUGAUCCUCAAUGAGGAAUGAACAAGAAGCAAAUUCACCCCAAGCUCAAACCAUGCAAUGAUCUUGCAAAGCUGCAAGAACCUACAGGACUCAGUUAUCAUGUUACAUGUUAAAGAUCAUGCCGGAACAAUUAGAAAAAGGCUGAACAAGCACAGCUUAUUUGGAAGGGUUGCCACAAGAAAGCCUCUUCUGUGAAAAGAGCAUGGUCGCAUUGGUUAGAUUUGCAAA